UACGAAGGGUGCUAGCGUUGUUCGGAAUCACUGGGCGUAAAGCGUGCGCAGGCAGUCUUGUAAGUCAGGGGUGAAAUCCUGGGGCUUAACCCCAGAAUUGCCUUUGAAACUGCAAGGCUUGAGUCUCGGAGGGGGUGGCGGAAUUCCUAAUGUAGCGGUGAAAUGCGUAGAUAUUAGGAGGAACACCAGUGGCGAAGGCGGCUUCCUGGACCAAUACUGACACUGAGGAGCGAAAGCAUGGGGAGCGAACAGG
rnacentral:rRNA from 1 species